rnacentral:rRNA from 1 species
UUGGAGGGCAAGUCUGGUGCCAGCAGCCGCGGUAAUUCCAGCUCCAAUAGCGUAUAUUAAAGUUGUUGAGGUUAAAAAGCUCGUAGUUGAACCUUGGGCCUAGCCGGCCGGUCCGCCUCACCGCGUGCACUGGCUCGGCUGGGUCUUUCCUUCUGGAGAACCGCAUGCCCUUCACUGGGUGUCACGGGGAACCAGGACCUUUACUUUGAAAAAAUUAGAGUGUUUAAAGCAGGCAUUUUGCUUGAAUACAUUAGCAUGGAAUAAUAAAAUAGGACGGCA